GACGUAGGGUGCAAGCGUUGUCCGGAUUUAUUGGGCGUAAAGAGCUCGUAGGCGGCUUGUUGCGUCGACUGUGAAAACCCGCGGCUUAACCGCGGGCUUGCAGUUGAUACGGGCAGGCUAGAGUUCGGUAGGGGAGACUGGAACUCCUGGUGUAGCGGUGAAAUGCGUAGAUAUCGGUAGGAACACCAGUGGCGAAGGCGGUCUCCUGGGGCAUUCUUGACGCUGAGGCGCGAAAGCUGGGGGAGCAAACGGG
rnacentral:rRNA from 1 species